rnacentral:rRNA from 1 species
AUGUACAUGCCUACAACAUAGCGUUAAUGCACAAGAUCUCAUUAGAAAUCCACAUUUAAGCGCACUCGGGAUAGAACAAUACUGGGAUGGGUGACCACCCAGGAAGUCCUAGUGUUUUACAUU